UACGGAGGGUGCAAGCGUUAUCCGGAUUCACUGGGUGUAAAGGGUUCGUAGGCGGUGUAGCAAGUCGGGAGUGAAAUCUCUGGGCUUAACCCAGAGGCUGCUUCCGAAACUGCUGUGCUUGAGUGUGGGAGAGGCGCGUGGAAUUGCAGGUGUAGCGGUGAAAUGCGUAGAUAUCUGCAGGAACACCCGUGGCGAAAGCGGCGCGCUGGACCACUACUGACGCUGAGGAACGAAAGCUAGGGGAGCAAACAGG
rnacentral:rRNA from 1 species